GACGAACGCUGGCGGCGUGCUUAACACAUGCAAGUCGAACGAUGAACCCGGAGCUUGCUCCGGUGGAUUAGUGGCGAACGGGUGAGUAACACGUGAGUAACCUGCCCUUGACUCUGGGAUAACUGCGGGAAACUGUAGCUAAUACCGGAUACGACCCUCGGCGGCAUCGCCAGGGGGUGGAAAGAAUUUCGGUCAAGGAUGGACUCGCGGCCUAUCAGCAAGUUGGUGAGGUAACGGCUCACCAAGGCGACGACGGGUAGCCGGCCUGAGAGGGUGACCGGCCACACUGGGACUGAGAUACGGCCCAGACUCCUACGGGAGGCAGCAGUGGGGAAUAUUGCACAGUGGGCGCAAGCCUGAUGCAGCGACGCCGCGUGAGGGAUGACGGCCUUCGGGUUGUAAACCUCUUUCAGCAUCGACGAAGCGAAAGUGACGGUAGGUGCAGAAGAAGGACCGGCCAACUACGUGCCAGCAGCCGCGGUAA
rnacentral:rRNA from 1 species